ACAUUGAAGGUUGGCGGCAUGCUUAACACAUGCAAGUCGAACGGUAACGCGGGGGCAACCUGGCGACGAGUGGCGGACGGGUGAGUAAUACGUAGGAAUCUACCCAUUAGUGGGGGACAACCCGGCGAAAGCCGGGCUAAUACCGCAUACGCUCUACGGAGGAAAACGGGGGAUCGUAAGACCUCGUGCUAAUGGAUGAGCCUACGUCGGAUUAGCUAGUUGGUAGGGUAACGGCCUACCAAGGCGACGAUCCGUAGCUGGUCUGAGAGGACGAUCAGCCACACUGGGACUGAGACACGGCCCAGACUCCUACGGGAGGCAGCAGUGGGGAAUAUUGGACAAUGGGGGCAACCCUGAUCCAGCAAUGCCGCGUGUGUGAAGAAGGCCUGCGGGUUGUAAAGCACUUUCAGUGGGGAAGAAAAAAUCGGAGCUAACACCUCCGAGCUUGACGUUACCCAUAGAAGAAGCACCGGCUAACUCCGUGCCAGCAGCCGCGGUAAUACGGAGGGUGCAAGCGUUGUUCGGAAUCACUGGGCGUAAAGGGAGCGUAGGCGGCGUGGUAAGUCAGAUGUGAAAUCCCGGGGCUCAACCCCGGAACUGCAUCCGAUACUGCCAUGCUAGAGGAUUGGAGAGGUAGCUGGAAUUCUUGGUGUAGCAGUGAAAUGCGUAGAGAUCAAGAGGAACACUCGUGGCGAAAGCGAGCUACUGGACAAUUCCUGACGCUGAGGCUCGAAGGCUAGGGUAGCGAAAGGGAUUAGAUACCCCUGUAGUCCUAGCAGUAAACGGUGCACGCUUGGUGUGAGGGGAAUCGACCCCCCUUGUGCCGGAGCUAACGCGUUAAGCGUGCCGCCUGGGAAGUACGGUCGCAAGACUAAAACUCAAAGAAAUUGACGGGGACCCGCACAAGCGGUGGAGUAUGUGGCUUAAUUCGAUGCAACGCGAAGAACCUUACCAAGGCUUGACAUGCAUCUCUAAACACGUGAAAGCGUGUGACCCUUCGGGGAAUUUGCACAGGUGCUGCAUGGCCGUCGUCAGCUCGUGUCGUGAGAUGUUGGGUUAAGUCCCGCAACGAGCGCAACCCUUGUGAUUAGUUGCCAGCACGUCAAGGUGGGAACUCUAGUCAGACUGCCCAGAUCAACUGGGAGGAAGGUGGGGACGACGUCAGGUCAGUAUGGCCCUUACGCCUUGGGCUGCACACGUACUACAAUGCCCAGCACAAUGAGAACCGAGACCGCGAGGUGGAGGAAAUCUGCAAACUGGGCUCAGUUCGGAUUGGAGGCUGCACUCGCCUCCAUGAAGUUGGAUCGCUAGUAAUGGGGCAUAUUACGGCCCCGUGAUACGUUCCC
rnacentral:rRNA from 1 species